rnacentral:tRNA from 1 species
GUUUAUAUAGUUUAUAAAUAAAACCUCUUAUUUUCAAUAAGGAAAAAAGGUAAAUUUACCUUUAUAAAUA